GAGCGGCGCUUAGGUCCUUUUACUGCUGCUGACUUCACAGAUCUAUAUAUGAAUAUUCUUUUCCAGCAGCUCAUGACUUCAUGCUUGGAUUAAAAAUGGUAUCUUUUUUCACUCUCUCGUCCAGAUCUAUCCCUCUAAAUCUAGACUCAGAAGCAGCUCUCAUAUUUUGGUUUUAAUUAGGCAGAGAAACACAGUGAAUCUGGGGCUCUGGGUUCUAUGUAUAUUAUAUGGCUGGAAAUUGGAGACAUUCUGGCAAGUGGGUGAUAUAUAUACAUGAAGGAGAUCAUUGAAACUGAAGCAGGUUUCGGAACUUGGAUUAUGCAAAAAAUGAGGAGCAUUUUGUUUUGCUUCUAUGGGGAAGGAGGCCUUGGACUUUGGCUUUAAUGAGAAAUCUGUGUGUUGCUGGUGGACCAACCGAAGCAGGUUGCUGGACACCUUUCGAGUUGGGGUUGGAGCAGCGUGGCGACGGAUGGAAAGUGGUGGUGCUCGGCCUGGUCGUAGUACAGAUGACGUGUGUACUGUGUUUGAGGGUAUUCAUUUUGAUGGAUCCAUAUUAUAUGCAGUUUUAUAUGAUAUAGCAUAUUUGUUUUUUAAUGUAAGAUUUAAUUGACUAAUUUAAAAAGAUUAAUAAAGUUACAAAAUACUCAUGCAUUACUUCU